rnacentral:rRNA from 1 species
GAUGAACGCUGGCGGCGUGCUUAACACAUGCAAGUCGAACGGUGAAGCCAAGCUUGCUUGGUGGAUCAGUGGCGAACGGGUGAGUAACACGUGAGCAACCUGCCCUGGACUCUGGGAUAAGCGCUGGAAACGGCGUCUAAUACUGGAUAUGAGACGUGAUCGCAUGGUCAACGUUUGGAAAGAUUUUUCGGUCUGGGAUGGGCUCGCGGCCUAUCAGCGUGUUGGUGAGGUAAUGGCUCACCAAGGCGUCGACGGGUAGCCGGCCUGAGAGGGUGACCGGCCACACUGGGACUGAGACACGGCCCAGACUCCUACGGGAGGCAGCAGUGGGGAAUAUUGCACAAUGGGCGGAAGCCUGAUGCAGCAACGCCGCGUGAGGGAUGACGGCCUUCGGGUUGUAAACCUCUUUUAGCAGGGAAGAAGCGAAAGUGACGGUACCUACAGAAAAAGCGCCGGCUAACUACGUGCCAGCAGCCGCAGUAAGAC